AUUGAACGCUGGCGGCAGGCCUAACACAUGCAAGUCGAGCGAGUGGCGGACGGGUGAGUAAUGUAUGGGGAUCUGCCCGAUAGAGGGGGAUCACUACUGGAAACGGUCGCUAAUACCGCAUACUAUCGGAUGUACCCAUAUGGGAUUAGCUUGUAGGUGGGGUAAAGGCUCACCUAGGCGACGAUCUCUAGCUGGUCUGAGAGGAUGACCAGCCCAACUGGGACUGAGAAACGGCCCAGACUCCUACGGGAGGCAGCAGUGGGGAAUAUUGCACAAUGGGCGCAAGCCGGAUGCAGCCAUGCCGCGUGUGUGAAGAAGGCCUUAGGGUUGUAAAGUACUUUCAGCGGGGAGGCGUUACCCGCAGAAGAAGCACCGGCUAACUCCGUGCCAGCCGCCGCGGUAAUAC
rnacentral:rRNA from 1 species